rnacentral:rRNA from 1 species
GUGCCACCGCGGUAAUACGUAGGGGGCGAGCGUUGUCCGGAUUUAUUGGGCGUAAAGAGCGUGUAGGCUGUUCGGUAAGUCUGCCGUGAAAACCUGCAGCUUAACUGUGGGCGUGCGGUCGAUACGGGCAUCACUGGAGUUCGGCAGGGGAGACUGGAAUUCCUGGUGUAGCGGUGAAAUGCGCAGAUAUCAGGAGGAACACCGGUGGCGAAGGCGGGUCUCUGGGCCGAUACUGACGCUGAGGAGCGAAAGCGUGGGGAGCAAACAGG